rnacentral:rRNA from 1 species
AUGCCGCGUGUGUGAAGAAGGCCUUAUGGUUGUAAAGCACUUUAAGCGAGGAGGAGGCUACUUUAGUUAAUACCUAGAGAUAGUGGACGUUACUCGCAGAAUAAGCACCGGCUAACUCUGUGCCAGCAGCCGCGGUAAUACAGAGGGUGCGAGCGUUAAUCGGAUUUACUGGGCGUAAAGCGUGCGUAGGCGGCUUAUUAAGUCGGAUGUGAAAUCCCCGAGCUUAACUUGGGAAUUGCAUUCGAUACUGGUGAGCUAGAGUAUGGGAGAGGAUGGUAGAAUUCCAGGUGUAGCGGUGAAAUGCGUAGAGAUCUGGAGGAAUACCGAUGGCGAAGGCAGCCAUCUGGCCUAAUACUGACGCUGAGGUACGAAAGCAUGGGGAGCAAACAGGAUUAGAUACCCUGGUAGUCCAUGCCGUAAACGAUGUCUACUAGCCGUUGGGGCCUUUGAGGCUUUAGUGGCGCAGCUAACGCGAUAAGUAGACCGCCUGGGGAGUACGGUCGCAAGACUAAAACUCAAAUGAAUUGACGGGGGCCCGCACAAGCGGUGGAGCAUGUGGUUUAAUUCGAUGCAACGCGAAGAACCUUACCUGGCCUUGACAUACUAGAAACUUU